GCUAUUUCCACAAGUAUCCAGCAAGGCAUUUUCGCAAAGCCUUUUAGAACUGAAAUAUAUCACAGGAUAUUGUCUAUUCUUCGAGAUGGAAUUGUGAUUGGUGCUAAAAGGUUUGAAUUUCUGGCUUUCUCAGCUAGUCAACUGCGAUCAAAUUCUGUUUGGAUGUUUGCUUCUAAUGAUGAUGUGAAGGCAGAAGGUAUUAGAGAAUGGAUGGGUUGCUUUAAUAAGAUUCGCAGUAUUUCCAAAUGUGCAGCUAGGAUGGGUCAAUUGUUCAGUGCUUCUAGGCAAACUUUUGUUGUUCCUGCGCAAGAUGUAGAAAUUAUUCCUGA
rnacentral:misc_RNA from 1 species